UAUACCAGUGCAGUGGUAUAUUUUUAUAUGACCAAUUACCGCACCGAUGUUAGCAUAGCGUUAAUUUGCACCCAUUUGCACGUGAGCUAGCUAAUUGCUCACAAUGAGGGAAUCUUUAUUUGUACAAAUUUGCCUACAUGAGCAGUAAGCCCAGGUUUACAUGUACAGUUAUGUAAUCGAUUUGAUCGUUGAUUUUCUGUGUUUAUUCAAUGUAUGCCUUGUUGUGUUUGGCUGGCUCUAAAUGUGUAUCGUUGAUGCCCUUAGUUACACAUAACGAGUCUACACAGCCUACGCAUAGUAUUGUAACGACCUUGGGUUUAAAAACCCGGAAAUCUACCCUGCCGCACGAGCAUGCUUUUGCGGCACAUUCGAUAGCGCACCGGACCAUAAGAGAAACUUCAAAACACAUUUACGAAGAAAGCACACACAUUGCUUUGAAACCGUGUCCAAAGAAAGAUUUUUGGCAUGUGAGAAAUGGAACAUUGCUUGAUUCUUCUCCCCUGGACCUUGGGGGACUUUUGGUGUGGAUGAUGUUAAGGGCCUACCAAAGCAAGAUUUCUCAAACAACUGUGGGGUGUUUGUUUUGAUGUAUGCUCUGUACACUCCAAUGGAAGCACAGUGUGAUUUCACUGAGGAAAACAUGCAGCAAAUUAGGCGAUGGUGGUGCCUAGUUCUCCUGCAGAACUUUCCCAUGCAAUCUGAAGAAGAGAGGUUGAAAGAUCGAAAAAGGCGGCGAAAACAAAACACACUACAGGAUGAUGCAGAAGACGCAUGGCGAACUGGGAGCUGUGAACUGGAUACAGAUGUUGUUCUAAGGGAUACCCUAGAGACAGCAAGGUGAUGUGAACACCAAACAUUUAAAGGCACCGUUUCUCUCCCUAGUGUAAUUGGGAUGGAUGAAAGACCGCAUUAACCCUUAAAGAACUAAAGAUAAAAGAUUAAAGAUGCUCCUCAAGAAACCAUUCAUGUUACAGAGAGAUGAGAUGUUCUAUGUGACAAGAAGAAAAUGACUCUUUGCCUCUUUUGAGGAGCAGGAGUGAAGCCAUUUUUGAGGAGUUAUCAAACCUUUUUUUUGUCUGCUGUCUUAAUUGUUAAUUGUGUUAUGUUUAGUAAAGAUGCUGUAGAAGUCACCCGAGUCUCUGAUCUCUGUACUGGAGCUGGUAUAACUUAAUGUACAAAGCACAUUCAGCUUGUCAGUAUGUCUAUUUGGUAUAUUCUGUCUCCAUUCCCAUGAGGAAAGUAAAUAGCAUUAUAAAUCAGGAUAGGUAGUAACUGUGUGUGUGUAUGUACAAGCAUUUCGCUACACUCGCAUUAACAUCUGCUAACCAUGUGUAUGUGACAAAUAAAAUUUGAUUUAUUUG